rnacentral:rRNA from 1 species
UUAAUUGAGAGUUUGAUCCUGGCUCAGAACUAACGUUGGUGGUAUGCCUAACACAUGCAAGUCGAACGGUCAAUAUUAACAAAGGAGAUAGCUUGCUAUUUCCGGAGUUGAUUUUGAUAGUGGCGAACGGGUGAGUAAUAAAUAGGUAAUCUACCCUUAAAUUGGGGAUAACACCUCGAAAGAGGUGCUAAUACCGGAUAAUACAAUGAGAUCGCAUGGUUUUAUUGUUAAAGGUGACCUCUGCUUGCAAGUUAUCGUUUAAGGAUGAGCUUAUUUCCUAUUAGUUUGUUGGUAAGGUAAUGGCUUACCAAGACUUUGAUGGGUAGCCGGCCUGAGAGGGUGAACGGCCACACUGGGAUUGAGAUACGGCCCAAACUCCUACGGGAGGCAGCAGUGAGGAAUUUUGCGCAAUGGGGGAAACCCUGACGCAGCAAUACCACGUGGGUGAUGAAGGUCUUCGGAUUGUAAAGCCCUGUCAAAUGGAAAGAAAAGCUUGAGGUUAACACCCUCAAGACUUGACGGUACUAUUAGAGGAAGUCUCGGCUAACUACGUGCCAGCAGCCGCGGUAAUACGUAUGAGGCUAACGUUGUUCGGAUUUACUGGGCGUAAAGGGUGUGUAGGCGGUUUAGUAAGUCUGAUGUGGAAUCUAGAAGCUUAACUUCUAUACGUCAUCAGAAACUACUUAACUUGAGUACAGGAGGGGAGAGUGGAAUUCCAGGUGUAGCGGUGAAAUGCUUAGAUAUCUGGAGGAACACCAGUGGUGAAGACGGCUCUCUGGACUGUAACUGACGCUGAAACACGAAAGCAUGGGGAGCAAACGGGAUUAGAUACCCCGGUAGUCCAUGCUGUAAACGAUGGAUAUUAGGUGUAGGAGAUACGAAAUUUUCUGUGCCGAAGUUAACACAUUAAAUAUCCCGCCUGGGGAGUAUGACCGCAAGGUUGAAACUCAAAGGAAUUGACGGGGGCCUGCACAAGCGGUGGAGCAUGUGGUUUAAUUCGACGCAACGCGAAGAACCUUACCGGGGUUUGACAUGCUUUUGAAAGCUUAUAGAAAUGUAAGUCCUCCAGCAAUGGACAAAAGCACAGGUGUUGCAUGGCUGUCGUCAGCUCGUGUCGUGAGAUGUUGGGUUAAGUCCCGCAACGAACGCAACCCUUAUCUAUUGUUGCCAGUGGGUAAUGCCAGGCACUCUAUAGAGACUGCCAGUGUUGAACUGGAGGAAGGUGGGGAUGACGUCAAGUCCUCAUGGCCCUUAUGUCCCGGGCUACACACGUGCUACAAUGGUCUGUACAGAGGGCAACGAACCCGCGAGGGGGAGUAAAUCCCAGAAAGCAGAUCUCAGUUCGGAUUGUAGGCUGCAACUCGCCUACAUGAAGUCGGAAUCGCUAGUAACCGCGAAUCAGCAGGUCGCGGUGAAUACGUUCCCAGGCCUUGUACACACCGCCCGUCACACUACCUGAAUUGAAUGUACCCGAAGUUGUUGUUCUAACCUGUAAAGGAAGAAGGCAUCGAAGGUAUGUUUAGUAAAGAGAGUGAAGUCGUAACAAGGUAGCCGUAUCGGAAGGUGCGGCUGGAUCACCUCCUUU